UGGGGAAUAUUGGACAAUGGGCGGAAGCCUGAUCCAGCAACGCCGCGUGAGGGAUGACGGCCUUCGGGUUGUAAACCUCUUUCAGUACCGACGAAGCGAAAGUGACGGUAGGUACAGAAGAAGGACCGGCCAACUACGUGCCAGCAGCCGCGGUAAUACGUAGGGUCCGAGCGUUGUCCGGAAUUAUUGGGCGUAAAGGGCUCGUAGGCGGUUUGUCGCGCCGGGAGUGAAAACAGCGGGCUUAACUCGUUGCUUGCUUUCGAUACGGGCAGACUAGAGGUAUGCAGGGGAGAAUGGAAUUCCUGGUGUAGCGGUGAAAUGCGCAGAUAUCAGGAGGAACACCGGUGGCGAAGGCGGUUCUCUGGGCAUUACCUGACGCUGAGGAGCGAAAGUGUGGGGAGCGAACAGGAUUAGAUACCCUGGUAGUCCACACCGUAAAACGUUGGGCGCUAGGUGUGGGGUCCUUUCCACGGAUUCCGUGCCGUAGCUAACGCAUUAAGGCCCCGCCUGGGGAGUACGGCCGCAAGGCUAAAACUUAAAUGAAUUGACGGGG
rnacentral:rRNA from 1 species